rnacentral:lncRNA from 1 species
ACGCAGGCCGCGUGGCUGGAAAGGAUCUCCUGAUCUCUGAGGGUCUUCAGGCUCUGGAGCUCAGUGGGAACUCUUUGGACAGCAGCUCCGGAGUGUGCCACCCAUGGAGUGAUCAGCACCGCGGGCCAAGGAGGAAAGAACCGUGUUGGGGAGUGUGACCCAGACGGGCCAGCUGAUGCAGAGCCCGGUCUGCAAAAGGGGAUGUGAGCCCACGUGCUGGAGCACUGAAGAAGGAGCUCACGUGCUGGAUUCCACAAGUCCCUUGCCCCGAGGGGCGGCGCCUGCGUGAGGCAGCACCUUCAACCCUGCCCUCGCCGGGGGACUCGCGAGUUAGCAGCCGGCCUGUUGAGGUCAGAGGAGGCGGGGUGCGUCCAAGCCUAGCGACUGCGCGUGCUUAAAGCUCUGGAGCAGAGAACGAGCGAGCGGCCUGAGCAACCCCAGCCCGUGACACCACCCGAACCACGCGCCACUACAGCUUUCCCGGCAUGGGGCGGGGGGCAAAUGCGGGGUGCUCUCCAUCCAGAGAGAGCUACGUUGUCCGCGGCUACGUGGACAACAGAGCGACCAUGUUCCCUCUGCAGGUGUGUGUUAUCACCCUGGGACUUAUGUUCUGGAUCUUUGCCAACUCUUAAGUUCUAUCAUGUCCCCUUGGAUGGACCCUCUUCUGAGGCACUCUGACGGCUGCUCCCCUCGUCCCACUUCUGCCAGCCUUAAAGAAGUCACAGGGAGACCAACACCCCAGGCCCCUAAGAGCAGUUUGGACGACAUCUAAGAGGGGAUGAUGGACCAUGAAUGAGCCAAGCCACCCCUCUUCUUGCCACUCUGGACUGAAACAGCUGGACUGACACCUUCAGUGAACUUCUCUGUGUCACAGCUGGGCUGAAGCCUUCGCUGCAUCAGUGAACUCUGUGUCACCAGCUCAGAUCAGCGUGACACCCUCUAGGAGCAGGUCAACUCCUUGACGGACGCGGUACUCUACAACUCAAAAGGACUAGCUCUGACUGCUGCCCUCCUUGAUCAGGGCUGCUACCACGCCAACAAAUGCUGCCUGGUUUGAAAUGGGGCCUAAAGGCACAGGGACCAGACAAAAGUUCCUCCUGGCUUCCCCCCACUCUGUCUCUUCCCCUGCCUCACGCUUUCUCCCUUCUUUAUCUUAAUACCUACAUUUUUACCGUGUCUUUAAAUGUUUUGCUUACUGAACCCACGCAGAAUUUCCCAUUCGAGCUCUCUCAGUGGCUCUCAUCCCACAACAGCUCCAUUUGUUCCUGACACAUCUGAGAAACAACAACAAUUUCUAUUCAGCACCUAAACAACAAUUGUUUAGGUGCUGAAUAGAAAAGGGACCGUGAUCUCUUCCACCACAGGCCAGAUACAGUUCUUCACAUUAACCCUUUAUUGACCCCUCUUCCCGUCCUCUGCUGCUUUGUAGCCCUCUGCUGCUUCUGCUAGCUCAUUUUUCUAGCAGUCCUGGCAAUGGGACCAGUCACUGUCACCCUGGGACCAGCCUCUGCCCACUUUGUCUCACUCUUGUCUCUUCUGCCUAGGCUCCUGCUCCUCCCCCUCCCUCAACCUUCCCAGAAAAUCUCUCAGCUCUACUCUAUAACCAAAUCAUCUGCUUGUGGCCUUCUAAUAAAUAUUUUCCCAGCUCUCCUCAGGAAUGCGGAAUGACAAUGGCCUGAUCCAUCACAGCUAAUCAAGACUCUAGCAUACAACAUGGCCAGAGAGUUUCCCUUUACUGGACCCAGAACUAACCCCUCUGAUAAAGACUCUCCUCCGGGGAAAGAAAAGAAAAAGCUAUGACAUCCUGCCCUGCGUCUUUUUAAUAUCCUCUCAGAAUUGGGACCGAGUUUCCUGCUGAAGGACUACACUUCCCAGCUUUCCUUGUGGACUACAGGAGUCCUCCCUUAUAAGAGGCACAUCCCAUCUUCCCCUGUAGGCAUUUUGGCAUCCACAAUCAAGUCUUUUUCUCUCUACCUUUGGCCCCUCUAUUGUUGCCUUUUAAAAGUUAGCUAAUAUCAACCAUGAAUGACUGCCCUCUGACACCCAGGAUGAAGAUGAUGAGUAGAAAGACAGCCCCUGCCACCAGCAGUGGCAGCAGUGGCACGCUCUGCUCUGGGGCCUCCAGCGGCUCUCCUGUAGGAUGGAAGCAGCAGAUGAGCCUUCAGCCAAGUAUCAGGGCAGGAACGAGUGAGCAGAUUUCAGCCAUGGGCGAUACUCAGCUAUAAGCAGGGCUGUAGCCGUGGAGCAGGACUACAAGUCACCUCGCACAUCCCGAAGUGGGUAUGGGAAAUCAAGUCGCUCCACUGCUGACAAGGCUCCCAGGUAGUCAGCAGCACUCUGGGCAUCAGGGAAGCAGUGGUCAUUCUCAGCUGACUGCAGACAGAGCCGGUUGUCAAUCUCCAGCAUCACCACAGAGCUGUGGGAACAGAGCAGAGGGACCCAAAGGCUCAACACUUGUCUACAGCAUCCUAGACACCCGACCUCAGAGAGCCACAUCCGUCUCCACUCUCCAUGUCUCUACCACCCACCCAGCUCUCAGCUGGCAUCCAACUCCACUGUCUCUCCCAACAGAUCUUAUUGGUCACAGUGUCUCAAAGCUGUGAAUUCAAUAAUGUCUUCAUUCGCCCUGGUAGAGUCUGUUGGUGUCGCCCUUUGCUGGGACAGUGUACCAUGUCAGUUUCUCUAAAAGCUUGCUUUUUCUCCUUUAUCCUUCUUUGUGGUAUUGGAGAUGAACUUGGGGCCUUGAAUAUACAAGGUAGGUUCUCUACCACUGAGCCACGUCCUCUACUGUCCCCCAAUUCUUAGGUCUCUGAGAGUCCUUAGAUUCCUUCUUCAUUUCCUUCUCUCCUGCUUCCUUGAUUCUCCCUUCUUUCCCUCCAAUGGCCUCCAAUACCCAGUUGUCUUGUAUGCAUCUUCAGCCCUCAGUCAUCUCCUGGGGUUCCUCCCCAUACCUCAAGACCCCCUAAGAAUAGCAAGUUCCAAGGUGGCCCCUGCUUAGCCCUAUGUCCUCAUCACUAAGCCACUUUAGCCAAGAAAGGGGCCAUGUGUCACCUCACCCAUCUACUUGACUUCUGCCUGCAUCCAAUCAGAACCCACAAACCACAGCAUCUCUAAAGUUCAGCUCUCCUUUCCUUGUCAGGGCCCAAUCUUCAGGCCCUGGUCCACCCUCAAAAAAAUGCCUCUCCCACUUCAGGUUCCCCCUACCAGGUCACCAGUGAGCAAGUUCUACAACUUUUGUGAGAUGAGGGGAAAGGGGAAUGAAGAGAGUGGGGAGGAAAGAGAGUGAGUGUCGGGGGCGAUAUUGUAUGCCUGCAAUCCUAGUACUUGGAAGGGCUGAGUAGGAGAACCAUGAGUUCAAAGCCAACCUGGGCUACAGAUUGAAUUUCAGGUUAGUGCCUAUAAAACACAAACAAAGCAAACAACGAGAAGAAAACAACAAACAAGCCAGCGAAAUGGCUCACAGGCAACAUGCUCAUCAUGCAAGCCUGACAUCCUGAUGAGAAGAGAGAACUGACUUCACACUGUUGUCCUCUAACCUCUACAGGCAUGCGUCGUCAUGGCACUUGGGGACCUACACACACACAUCAUGCACACAAGAAGGUGCUGUCACCUGCAUUUGAAGAGUAAAAUCUCAGCGCUGCAGCGAGGCUCCCUGUAGUGUACAGAGGAUGAACCCCCCCCCCCCCCAUAGCAAAGAUGUCAACCCGACAGACACGGAAAAACCUGUGGAAGACGCCUUGCCAAGAGAGCUCUCAACUAAGAAGCGUGAAACAGACGGUCUGGACCACGGGUGCCCUAACCGCUGUACCCAGCCCUGAGCCACAGUCACUCACCCGAUCACCUCAGGACCCAGCUCACGACGGACCCGGGAUUCAGAGCCAGGGCUUGGCCGGUGAUAGGGGAAGACCAUGGCCUGGCCACGUGCGUCCAAGCGGAAGCGCAGUGAGGUGCGCAGAAUAGCGCUGAGUCGCUGCAGAAAGUCGGCACUGGAGCGCAGCAACUCUUCAGGAGGCAGAAGAACUGUGAGGACCAGAACCCCUCGGGCCAAAAGGGCCGGGACCUCGCUGGCACAGUCCAGCCCAUCCCAGCCGCAUUCCUCAGUGUUGCAGCCCUGGUCACAACGGCCAUCUGCAAAGUGGUCGGCGCAGUACUUCUCAUAAACAGGGCUGGGGACAGAGAACACAAACUCAGAGAUUCUUCGGGUCACCUAAAUGCACACACAGAGAAUAGCAGUAGUGGACAGUGCUGGUAUGGGGUUGGGGAUGGUGGUGGUGGGAAAUGUUCUUGCAUAUGCUUUCUGCAAAUGCAGUCGUUGGCUGCAUAAGCACAAGUUCUGUGUUCCUAAUUUGAAAUAAUUGGGACUAAAACUAUUUCAGAGUUCAAAUUAUAGUUUUAGAAUAUUUACACAUAUGCUUAAAUAUUAUAUAUGCAAAUAAAUGCAAUGAGAUAUCUUUCUA